rnacentral:rRNA from 1 species
CCAGACUCCUACGGGAGGCAGCAGUGGGGAAUAUUGCACAAUGGGGGAAACCCUGAUGCAGCGACGCCGCGUGAGCGAUGAAGUAUUUCGGUAUGUAAAGCUCUAUCAGCAGGGAAGAAAAUGACGGUACCUGACUAAGAAGCCCCGGCUAACUACGUGCCAGCAGCCGCGGUAAUACGUAGGGGGCAAGCGUUAUCCGGAUUUACUGGGUGUAAAGGGAGCGUAGACGGUCCUGCAAGCCAGAUGUGAAAGCCCGGGGCUCAACCCCGGGACUGCUCUGGAAACUGCGGCGCUGGAGUACGGGAGGGGCAGGCGGAAUUCCUGGUGUAGCGGUGAAAUGCGUAGAUAUCAGGAGGAACACCGGCGGCGAAGGCGGCCUGCUGGACCGUGACUGACGUUGAGGCUCGAGAGCGUGGGGAGCAAACAGGAUUAGAGACCCCGGUACAA